UGCCCCCAUGGUCAAAAGGUGGAUGACAUUUCCCUUUCACGGAAGUAGUGGGGAUUCGAUUUCCCCUGGGGGUAG
rnacentral:tRNA from 15 species